GGGGCUGUAGCUCAGUGAUAGAGCACUUGCCUAGCAUGUGUGAGCUCUGGGUUCGAUUCUCAGCACCA
rnacentral:tRNA from 1 species